rnacentral:rRNA from 1 species
CCUACGGGAGGCAGCAGUGAGGAAUAUUGCACAAUGGGCGUAACCCUGAUCCAGCGACGCCGCGUGAGGGAGGAAGUAUUUCGGGAUUGUAAACUCUAUCAGCAAGGGAGAAAAUUACGGUACCUGACUCAUAAGCCCCGGCUAACUACUUGCCAGCAGCCGCAGUAAUACGUAGGGGGCAAGCGUUAUCCGGAUUUACUGGGUGUAAAGGGGGCAUAGACGGCUUAUCAAGUCAGAAGUGAACACCCAUGGCUCAACUUUGGGAUUGCUGUUGAAACUGGGUAGCUAGAGUGCAGUAGAGGUAGGCGGAAUGCCUAGUGUAGCGGUGAAAUGCGUAGAUAUCAGGAGGAACACCAGUUGCGAAGGCGGCUUACGGGACUGUAACUGACGUUGAGGCUCGAAAGCGUGGGGAGCAAACAGGAUUAGAUACCCGGGUAGUC